rnacentral:rRNA from 1 species
UACGGGGGGGGCAAGCGUUGUUCGGAAUUACUGGGCGUAAAGGGCGCGUAGGUGGCCAACUAAGUCAGACGUGAAAUCCCUCGGCUUAACCGGGGAACUGCGUCUGAUACUGGAUGGCUUGAAUUCGGGAGAGGGAUGCAGAAUUCCAGGUGUAGCGGUGAAAUGCGUAGAUAUCUGGAGGAAUACCGGUGGCGAAGGCGGCAUCCUGGACCGACAUUGACGCUGAGGAGCGAAAGCCAGGGGAGCAAACGGG